rnacentral:lncRNA from 1 species
AGGAUCUCACUUAUUCCUCGAGACUGGUUCCUCGCAAAAGGAGGCAGAAAGCCGAAUGAUGAAUUGAAUUUACAGCUGACAAACCCACCAUGUCCAGAAGUUUUUUUUUUUUUUUUUUGCACAUUCUCACUCUAAUUCGUCUGGUGUGGAAAGCGAGCUAAAAGAGCCUGUUGGCGUGAGAAGUGAUGAUGUAGAUGACACAUGUGGAAAAAAUUUAAAAUAUGAAAAAAUCCACUAAGGUUACCUAAGACUGAGUACACACGUUCCUCGUCUUUUAUGAUUAGACUGUUAUCAGUCCCUUUUAUCAUAUGCAUGUACAUACAAACGCUAUGUAGCACGCUCUGUUAGCUCGCCCCGCUCCAUGCACUGCAAAUUAAUUUCUUCAUUCUGGCUAUAAUAUUGAUCCAUACAGCAGGUUUUAUCCCCUUUUUUUAAAGACACGUGUAUCAGUGUGAUAUCACAGCAGUCCGGAGGCAAAAUUUGGUGGCUCUAGCUCUUAUGGUCUCUUAGAACUAGCCGACAAACAUGUUGGAAAGAUGGACGGACAGACUGACAGACGGACAGAAAGACAUAUUAUAUUAUAUUGACUCGGCUACUAUUCAGAUAAUUUACAGAUUUAACACAUCAUUUCGGCUAUGAGAAUUAAAAAGAAGAAUGCGAAAGCACCGAAUCACAUUGAGCCUGAAUUGAAGCCAUAAUACUAUUAAAGUAAAUUGACUUCAUCCCCGCCGUAUACCACAGGACUCUUUACCACCCUCUCCGUCCAUCCCCUUCGCAUCAUAAUAAAUAUAUAUUCUAACCAACGAAAGAGAAAUAGCAGUACCGGGAGCCAGAACCAGCGACAUCCGAGAGCUACCAGGGAAGACCACGCCGCCAAAGUUAAAGUCAGGGGGAAUGGUUUGUACAGAGGAAAAUGAAGUAGGUAAAGAGGAGGCGUUGCCACAGCUGAGACUGUGCUUCUUGUUGUUUUCCAAUGGGUUGGUGGUGAAGAUGAAGAUGGUAGAAGAUGGUCGCCCAGAAGCUAGGAUGUCUGCCAAGUUUAGUCUGCCCAAGGUCUGGUCCUACGUUAUGUGCUGUUAAUGACUGAGAAGAAGUCUGUGAAAGAACUGUGGGUCUCGCUAGGCAGGGUCUGGACUUUGGAGUCUGUCAAGAGAAGUGGAGUUAAACGUCGCUGGGGAGAGGAAUAUGCGUGGGCAUGUGGUAAUGCUGCGCACACGGAUAUUGACAAAUUGCCAUUUAAAUAGACAGAAUGAAGAUAAAUGCAACUACACACGCGCAUUAUGAAUGGGAGGAGUAUAAUUUGAUACUAAGCAGUGGGCCUUCAAAAACACGUUUAGCACUGUGCUUGGUGAGGGGUGGACAGCGGAGGCAUUGGACUAAGAUCCUAGAUAUGAGCAUUAAUUAGAAAAAAGAUAUUGUGUUAAGGGUACAUAAAAAUGAAAUGAAACAUAUGGGAAUAUGUGGAUGCAUAUGUAGGUGCCUGCUUAGAGAACUAAUGACGGAAACCCU